GUGCUAGCGGUGCCCUUGUGAGCCACUGCGUUCUCCAAGGCCAGAACGGGACAGUUGACGAUGGUCGUACUUCUCCAUGUUCUGAGACCAGUUUAAACAAAAACAAAAACCAGACAACAACCUUGCAAGGGAAAGAAUUCAGAGUAAAUAAACAGUCUUUUUCUGGGAAGUAAAAUAUUUCCCUAAGAUGGAGAAAUUGAGAUGAGAGCUCAUCCACAAGAUUACCCAUCAAUGAGCACCAAUAGCAACCAAAUCCACUAGAAGACUGGGAGCUUUUAAGUCAAGAAACUUACAUCAGUAUCAUCAUUCCAAGAAGCGGUAUCCAAGCUGUUUUAUCGAAAGUGCGCAUGGGAGGCAGAUUUUGACUCCAAAAGUCCAGGAUGGGGCCUGAGGUUCUGCAUGUCUAACAAUUUCCCAGCUGAUGCCAAAGCUGCUGAUCAGAGUCUACACCUUAAGAAAUAAGACUCUGAGAAUUUAUAGAAACAAACAUUAGAAGGCAGGAAUGUGGAGAGAAGAAAGCUACCUGACAAGGGAAUCUCAGGAUACAAGGAAAACACCAAGGUGAGUUUCCUGACUUUUAGCUUUGCCUGAUAUAUCUCAGACCUAGAGUUCAAGGAACCAAGAACCCCAAAAUAAUAAUGGGAAAGGACAAGAAAAGCCCCAGCGAAAGACUACUCUGUCUCUAGCCAAAGGACAAGGAAAGGGGCAACCAAGCAAGACAGAAAAACAUUUAGAUAAUAACCACUCUAUUCUAGCCAAAUUCCACAAAAACUAAUUAGAUGGUGUCAGAGGAGGCUGAGUAGGAAGGAGGGACUUUACCCCUGCCCCCUAAUCCUGUGAUAUCAGUGGAAGCCAUGUGGAGAGCAGCAGCAAGGCACUUCCAUCCCUCACAUGUUGGGAAGUAUAGUGGACCCUCGAACAACACAGGUUUGAACAUCACAGGUCCACCUAGGUGCAGAUUUUGUUAAACAAAAAUGUAGCAACUUCCUAGCAUGUUCAGAUACUCUUCUAGGUACUUGGAAGACAAUAGUAAAGAAAAACAGCCAAAGCCCCUGCUGUCCUGAAAGAUGCAGGCAAUGGAAGAGGUAUUAGUUUAGGGACCCACACAAAUAAGUAAAUUUGCAUAUAUGCUAAGGGUCAUAAAGGGGUGGCAUGUGAGCAUGUGAGAAUAUAGAAUAGACACAUCUGCUUGGCUAAGGGCAGUCAGAAAACACUUUCUUCAGAAAUGAAUGAUUUAUUUAAAAUCUUCAUAAUUAAUUAGGCAGAGUAGGCCAAAAGUUAUCUAAGUACAGAGAAUGUACCUGUGCAGUUUAUUUUAUUGACUUGAAAAUUAAUUUCCUUCAUAGGAAUGUAAAUCUCUGUUUACCACAAGCCCUCUGUCUCCACAAGUUCUGUGUCCAGAACUGAAGGCAGAUCCAAAUACAAUAUUCAUGGGAUGCAAAUUCCCAUGUAUGCCAAGAGAUAACUGCUUUAUUGGAGGCCUAGUGGGGAACUGAAACUCCCACUCCUGCUUAGCAGGAAUGAGAAGCCCCCUUUCAGAGGUCAACAGAAGCUGAGUUAAGAAACCUGAACUUUUACCCUACCUGGCAGUAAUGAAGCGACACCCACCUUCGUCUGUGAGGAUGGUGUGAGAUGAAGGUAGCUAAAACAAAAGGUUUAAAUAAGAUUCAGAGUCUCAUCAUAUUGAAAUGUCCAUAUUUCAGUGGAAAAUUACUCAUCAUACAAAAACAAGAAAGAACUAAAACUAAGUGAGAAAAGAUAAUAAAUAUAUGCCAACAUCAAGAUGACACAAAUGUUAGAAUUAUCUGGCAAAGCUUGUAAAGCAGCCAUCAUAAAAAUACUCCAAUGAACAAUUAAAACAUUCUUGUAGCUAAUGAAAAUUUAUUUGGAAAGCUUCAACAAAGAAAUAGGAAGUCAUAACCAAAAAUAGAAGAUAAAAGAGUCAAAUGGAAAAUUUUGAACUGAAGAAUACAAUAACCAAUAUAAAAAACUCAAUGCAUGGGCAGAAUGGAGGAGACAGAGGAAAUAUUGGUGAACUGGAGGAAACAAUAUAAAUUGACCAUCUAUACAACAGAGAGAAGAUAGAGUGAAAAAAAGAUGAAAGGAACCUCAAAGACCUUCGAGAUUAUAGCAAAAAAAACCAAAAUAAAACAAAACCAAAAACCAACAAACAGACAGACAAAAAAUUAACCUUUGCAUUCCCUGAGUCCUAGAAGACCGGAAGAUGGCAGACCUGAAAAACAUUCUAAGAAAUAAUGGCUGAAAUGUGUUUAAAUUUAGCCAAAGACAUAAAUAUACAGAUUUAAGAAACUGAGUGAAUCCCAAAUAGGAUAAACUCACAGAAAUUCAUAGCAAGAC
ensembl:lncRNA LETR1 lymphatic endothelial transcriptional regulator lncRNA 1